CAUGGUGAUUGCGGCACAGAUAAUGUCGCUUUGCUAAAACGACUUCGAUUCCUUUGAUUUCGUCUAAAGAAUUCGGCUGACACGACAGCUACGACGAACGGGGUCACGGUGACCCUGAGGACGCCCAGCAUGGGAUGAGUGUACGUUGCUGGGCAGUUUACAAGCAUCGUGUCACCAGGGCGAGUCAUCACAGAUCGAGGUCAUCUGAACCGUAUCCAGGCCCACCUCUUCAGGCAGACCCAGGCACAGUACAAAGCAGUCACACUAGACAAAUGAACUAGACUUGGAAAGGGUACAGAUCGCCUAGUGCGGGCGGGCAGGCAGAUUUCCCCUGCAGAGGCUGGGCCGUAUAACACAGGAGCCACUGGGAUUUCACAAUUACAGCACAUGAGCCUUCAUUGGUACUUAUAAGGUCUGUGAUUGUCCUGGAAAGUUGAUAAAUUUUUGUUGUCAAAACCAAAUAGAGGGAAGGAGCUGGCAGUGUUCACUGUCUUUGCCUGGAAGGUCCAUCAACGACAACGAAGUGCACUGGAAACCUAUUUGUAGAACGAUGUGAGCCUGAUCACAGCUGACAGAGAUCCAGUGAAUUAACUGGAUGAGAAGAAUGAGUGGAUUGAGCGAAACUCAGCAUGCAGCGCAGAGUGUAUCAUUACGUAGGUGGUCCUGCUGAAAUCUGCCGCGUGAGAAUCCCUGCUGUGCUGUGGACCGUGCUCAGGUGGGGGCACAGUCUCCGAACCAGCUCCUCAUAUGGAGCGAAGGAACAAAUACUUUCCAACAACAGCAUCUCCCAGCCUUUGCAUGGCU